AUUAAACGCUGGCGGCAUGCCUUACACAUGCAAGUCGAACGGCAGCACGGGGCAACCUGGUGGCGAGUGGCGAACGGGUGAGUAAAGCAUCGGAACGUGCCCUGGAGUGGGGGAUAACGUAGCGAAAGUUACGCUAAUACCGCAUAUUCUGUGAGCAGGAAAGCAGGGGAUCGCAAGACCUUGCGCUCUGGGAGCGGCCGAUGUCGGAUUAGCUAGUUGGUGGGGUAAAGGCCUACCAAGGCGACGAUCCGUAGCGGGUCUGAGAGGAUGAUCCGCCACACUGGGACUGAGACACGGCCCAGACUCCUACGGGAGGCAGCAGUGGGGAAUUUUGGACAAUGGGCGCAAGCCUGAUCCAGCCAUGCCGCGUGAGUGAAGAAGGCC
rnacentral:rRNA from 1 species